AUGCGGUGGGUUGUUACAAUUUUUUUCGGUAACAUUUUAUCAAUAUCAAGCGGGUUUUUUGUACGCGAAAGAACUUUGCGAGUGUCCUGUGGUGUUGACAUUCUUCACAAUUGUCGCUUUGAAGUUGACUUCUCGACGGGCCAUCCACUGGCAUUUUCUUCAAGAAAUCUGCCUCCAGAAGUAAAGCUUCCUACUCCCGCUGCCUACUGCACUGCUGCUUGGAUUCCACCUGGCGAUCUGUUCACCAACUGCCCUGGCUUGUCUCCCCUGUCUGGUACAGGUACCCCCACCACACUCCCCCCUCCCUACCAAGCUUUCGCUUGCCUUCAGCACAGGCACUGUUGGGACGAGUGACUCUGAACUUACAAUGGCUAGCCCCAAGUCGCAAUUUUUUUUUUCUUGUACACUUUGCUAUUUGCCUCAUGGCUCCUGCUUGCUUUGGUGACUGAACCUUCUUGUUUGCCCUACUGUGGGACAGACUGUUUGUUCCCACACUUGGGACUCUGACUAUUGGCUAUAUACUUUUAGCCCCCCAUCCUGUUCUAACCACUCGCUGGCUUUGUAUUCCUGUUACCUGAUGAAAUUGCUGUACAAUCUGAUCCUGUUGCCAUCAAAUGCACAUUCAAAUGUCAUAAAUCAACACUGCAGUGCUCUCCUGUCCUCUGCCGUGCCUUGAUUGUAUUACUGUUGAUGAUGUACACCAUGGCCCAUCUACUGUUGCUAGCACCAAUUGACUUGUGCUCUCUGUUUCACUUUUUUUCUGCUCUUGUAAAAGCCUGGAUUUUCUGCACGUUAACACUGAACUUUUGACCUAAAAUUGAUCAAUUGAAAGUGUGGGUUCCCAGCUCCAAUCCAGAUGUUGGUCAGUACGGAGAUGUGGUUAAGAGUAUUUUGAAUACUGAUGUUAACCUUUCUGUCUUGCCGAAAAAGGUUAUAACCAGAUCUUCCAAAGGUGGGGGAGUGGCUAUCUUUACCAAGAAUUACCUUCAGUGCUCGGUUGUCACCACCAAGUCUUUCCCCAAACAAUUUGAUUCACUGGUUUUAAGCAUUAAACUCUCAAAUGGCUCUUCAUUGACUCUUGCGGGGUGUUAUCGUCCUCCAUCAGCACUGGCCUGUACCCUACCUGCCCUAAGCUCUCUCCUGGUCCCUUACACUAAGUCUGAAUUUUUCCUGCUAGGUGACCUAAACUGGGACAUGCUUAAACCACCUGACCAAGUCCUAAAGCAAUGGGACUCCCUAAAUCUUUCUCAUUAUUACCAAUCCCGCAAGAUGUGACUCCAAACACCCAGAAAAGGCUACUCUUCUUGAUGUUAUCCUCACAAAUAAUCCCGAUGGGUACCAGUCUUUCUGUAAUACCCUUAGUGAUCACUGUUUUACAGGCUGUAUUCGUAAUGGCUGCUCAGUGAAAUGUCCUGAUUUGUCAAAGACUCUUGCUAAAAACCUUUAAUAAGCAAGCCUUCCUUCAUGACCUGGCCUCUGUAAAUUGGUAUAGAAUCUGCUUGUUCCCCUCUGUCGAGGAUGCUUGAACCUUCUUUUUUUAAUCUCUUCAAUGAUAUUAACACACCCCCAUAAAGAUAAUUAAAAACCGGUUCAGCCCCUGGUUUGACUGAUCUUGCAGAGUUACUCCACCUCAAGAAUUGCAUUUGGCAAAAGGCCCGGCACACGUAUACUCAGGCCUACUGGCUCUAGUUCAGGCAAAUGAGAAAUAAGUGCACUUCAGGCUAUCCGGGAGGCCAAAGUUGGUUACUUUAAGGAGCAGUGCUCGCUCUGUGGGUCUAACCCCAAGAAGUUCUGGAAAACGGUUAAAGACCUGGAGAAUAAACCGUCCUCACAGCUGCCCGUGUCCCUUAAUGUUGACGCUGUGGUUGUUACUGACAAGAAGCACAUGGCUGAGUUCUUCAAUCACCACUUCAUUAAGUCAGGAUUCCUAUUUG
rnacentral:lncRNA from 13 species